GAUGAACGCUGGCGGCGUGCCUAAUACAUGCAAGUCGAGCGAACAGACGAGGAGCUUGCUCCUCUGACGUUAGCGGCGGACGGGUGAGUAACACGUGGAUAACCUACCUAUAAGACUGGGAUAACUUCGGGAAACCGGAGCUAAUACCGGAUAAUAUAUUGAACCGCAUGGUUCAAUAGUGAAAGACGGUUUUGCUGUCACUUAUAGAUGGAUCCGCGCCGCAUUAGCUAGUUGGUAAGGUAACGGCUUACCAAGGCAACGAUGCGUAGCCGACCUGAGAGGGUGAUCGGCCACGCUGAACCUGAGACACGGUCCAGACUCCUACGGGAGGCAGCAGUAGUGAAUCUUCCGCAAUGGGCGAAAGCUUGACGGAGCAACGCCGCGUGAGUGAUGAAGGUCUUCGGAUCGUAAAACUCUGUUAUUAGGGAAGAACAAAUGUGUAAGUAACUAUGCACGUCUUGACGGUACCUAAUCAGAAAGCCACGGCUAACUACGU
rnacentral:rRNA from 1 species